rnacentral:misc_RNA from 1 species
GAUGAAGAACGUAGUGAAAUGCGAUAAGUAGUGUGAAUUGCAGAAUUCAGUGAAUCAUCGAAUCUUUGAACGCACAUUGCGCCCCUUGGUAUUCCAUGGGGCAUGCCUGUUCGAGCGUCAUUUGUACCUUCAAGCUUUGCUUGGUGUUGGGUGUUUGUCCCGAGGGACUCGCCUUAAAGUAAUUGGCAGCCAGUGUUUGGUUUUGAAGCGCAGCACAAGUCGCGAUUCAAGGCUACACGCCCGCUUCCACAAGCCCUUUUUCACUUUUGACCUCGGAUCAGGUAGGGAUACCCGCUGAACUUAAGCAUAUCAAUAAGCGGAGGA